UUAUAAUGUACUUGAAUUAUAACUUUAAGCUCACUGAUAACAAUGCUCAGUAUAAAAGAUAACUUGUAUAACCAGUGGACAUAUUUCACAGACAAGCAACUUAUUUCACCAGCCUUGAAGCAACCAGUACAGAAACAGUCAAAAUGAGAGUAACAUGCUAUAUAACUACAUGUUUCGUCCUUAUAGGAAUAAUACUUGUGAACAGAAGCUAUGUUUGUGCUUGCAACGUCGCCUUUUCAGCGUACAUGACCGAAAGCAGUGCCAAUACACAAAGUGCGUCUAUGGCUAAUGGAAACACAAUUGUAUUUAAUAGAAUAGAAGAAAAUACUGGUGGAGGAUACAGCACUACCACGGGAAAAUUUACCGCUCCUUCAUCGGGCGUCUACGGCUUUUCAUGGACCUUCUGUGUCGAUUCUCGUACCAAUGAUGGCGGCGACCCUUUGCUUUACGGAGAAUACGGCACAGAAUUAAUGAGGGGAACGUCUGUGAUUGGCGUACUGCAUACAGAUACGGAAACAAAGUACAAUGACGCAUGCUCAACAGGAUUUGUCAUUAAAUACAUAUCCGAAGGUUGGGAAGUUUACGUCAGGAAUAAUUAUGCUCACCAAGGAAAAAUCUUGAGCAAGGAGAGUCAGACCAGAACAACAUUCUCUGGAUGGAAAAUAAAUAGUUGAAACGUUUGUUGAGCAUUGUUGAUCGGAUAUGAUUGACAUUCUGACAUCGCAGUACAUGUCUUUAUUUUUAUCAUUAAAAUAUAUUUAAUUUAAGGAUAGCUGUUUCAAGUAUUUAAAAAAAACCAGACGUUUCUAAUGUCAGAUGCUAGUAAGUAGACAAUAAUAUUGAAAAUGAAGAAAAAACAUCUCUGAUUUGUUUCCUCUUUAUUCUUACACCGAAUUUCGCCGUUUCGUAAUCUAAAGGACUAUGGGUAAUUUCAUUGUUUGUACCCCAAAAUGAAAACAGUCACGUCAUUGGUUGAAUUUCAAUUCUUUGGGACAUUGUUAGCCAAUAGUGGCGUUUUGGUGUACGCUUUUGAAAAUAUUACCCAGAAUGCAUUAGAUUCUGAAACGGCGAAUUAUUUAAUGGAAAAGGAAUGAUAAGAACCAUUUUUGAGCCUCUGUAAAAUAGUAAAAUUAUUCAAGCUUUCCAAAUUAUUUUAAUUUCAUUAUUAAUCAGUAGAUUGAUAUAAUCUGGAAACAGAAAUGCAGAAAGGUCAAUUUUUAUGUCAUAAACAUGUCAAAAUUGACAUAUUGAACUAAAAUAGUCAUUCUACACGUUGUAUUUGGACAAAAUAUGUAAUGAACUUAGGCUUCACCCAAAAUUUUUCACACAUUAACAUCUUUGAAAAGUCCAUCAUGUUGCCAAAUUUCUUUUUGGGUAAAGAAUUUGCUCAUAUUUAAAUAUUUAUAUCUGAAAAUCAGGAUUUUUCCCUAGUUUUUCAGUAAUUGCAAUAAGUUUGAAGCAAUGAUGAAAAUAUCUCAGAUAUGAUUAAAAAAAAUAUUGAUACCGACAUCUGACAGACUAAUGUUUAAUAAAUAAACAUCUGCAUGGAAGAUUUAUAAUACUUUUUGAUUAAUGAAUUCAAGGGACCAACAAGUGAGAAUAUCAUACCUUUGUCUUUGUAUAUUGAAUCGUUUGUAUAAUUCAGUUAUAAUUAUAAAAAAAAAUUGAAACUAAUAAACACAAUUUAUAGCAAA